AGUAUUAAAACGAUACAUGAUGAUGUUGAUGAUGAGAAAUGAUUUAUCAAAUGAAAUGGAUUAUUUAUCAAAAAAUAUGUUUUUUACUCUUGCUUUUAUACUUUUUUUGUAUUUUGUUGCCAUUGAAAGGUCCAAAUGUAGGUUACUUUAAACAUUUUGUUUUACCUUUACUUUUAACCUUAACCAUUGUUAACAUAUAAUUCAAUAUCAUUUUGAUAAUGAUCAUAAUAAUGAUUUUUUUUCAUGUUUCACUCUCUCUCCCUGUAAGUCAUGGUUGUAACAUUAGUCUAUCUCUUGAAACUGAAUCUUGUCUUUUGUUUUUCUUUUCCUCAGGAAUAUAUUCAAACAUUUGCCUGGUUCAAUGAUUUUUUUGUUGCUUUAUUUUUAAACCUCGGAAAAACAGUUUUUUUUUCAUUUUCACCAAACGUCUAGUGGUUAACCAUUUGCAGUUAAUUUACAAUUAAUAUUGUCAUUUUGAUUCAGAGAUGAAUGAUUAAGUGGUUGGUAAACAUGGUUUGAAUUGUAAAUAUUUUAAUCUCAUUCUAACUGGGAAAAGGGUAUCUUUUUGUAUCUCCCUCGCUUCAUCUAUUGGUUUGCUUUGGUUGGUUACUGGUUGUUAACGAAUAGUUAUGCACGUUAACGGUUUUUUUUGUCUAAAUUUAAAUUUUAUUUUUCUUUUGUCUUUAGAUUUUUUUUUGUGUUUUAUCGUUUAAUGAUUAUUAUGUUAAUAUUUGUCUAACAGUUAAUUUAAAUUGCAAAUUAAUCAAUGUGAUCACUGGGAAAAAAUGAAGUAAAUACAGUUAAAAUGGUUAAAGACAAGGACAAGACUGUGAGGUGUUGAGUUGGUGGCAAAAACAAGGCGACAACCUGAUUGACAAAUGUGUCAACCUGUGAAAUGCACAUUACAAGAACUUUUACUUAUAUUUAUUGCUGUUAAUAGAUUACAUUCAAAGCAAAAAAGAACCUAUUUAAUGGAAAAUCUAAUCGGUUGAUGGUUAUGGUUCGUGGUAAUGAUGAAAAUGGUAUAAACAUGGUUUCACUUGGUAUAAACAGUCAAACUAGAGAGAAAUGAAAAGAUGAUGAUGUUCAACUGAUGUUCACAGCCAAAUAUCAACAUUAGUUACACACACAUACACUCAGAGCCACACAACUUUACCAAUAUUUACCUUUUUUGUUUCUCUAUGUUUGAGCAAACAUUGGCUUGCAGCUAUUGUAUUAUAAUGCAAAACCAAACAACAAUAAUAACAUCAACUGUAAAUAGAUUGAUUUUGGUGAAACAAUUUCAUUUCUUGGUUUCUCUCGUCUUUUUUCCAACCAAGCCAACAAUAUUUUUCUUAUUCUAGCAUGAAUACAUGACGAUUAUGGUGAUGGUGUAUGAAAGAGCUGUUGAUCCAAAGAGAGGGGAUGAAAGAAAAGACUGAAACAAGUCACACAAGAUAUGGAAAGUUAAUGGUUAUGGCAAUGUUGGUGAUACACAUCUUCCAUCAAAAGGAUGGUCAAGGAAUCAAAAGAAAUUCAACUUGCUUCUUCUCAUAUUUCCAAUUUUUUUUCUCCUUUUCUCUACUCAAUGGUAAUGCUGUUGAUGUUUUGGAUGGAAAAAACUUUCAACAAAAUCUCUUGUUGAUUUUGUUCUUGGCAGAUUCAUCAUCUCUCUUUUGUCUUGCUAUGAUCAUCAUCUUGAAUCGUCUUCAAUAUAAACCCUUCGUUGUUGCUAUAAAUGUAAACUGUUGUGAGUCUGUGAGGAGCUUAGAGGAUGGCAAGCAACAAAAAAGUUGAUUCGGUCAAUGUGAAGGAAAAAAAAGGAUGCAAAAUUUAUUUUGAUUACCCUGUAAUUCUGAGAAAGAUGAAAAUUGAGAAUCAUCAGGUUUGCAUCGAGUUACACCAAGAUGCAUCUACAAUCAACCAAAUUAUAUAUUGUUUUUUCCCUACAUUCCGUGUUAUUAAGCUGGAAAAUGGCAAAGAAAACCUUUUAACAGGUUACGAUGAACAUGAUUUGGUCUUCUUUUCAUUAUUAUUUUUUUUCAUCACUCCUUUCCACUUGAAGAUGAUAAUGAUGAGUUGACCGUUUUAUUUUUGACUCUCAAAUGCAGUUAAACUCCCUCACAUGGCAUCCUUCAAGUUCACACUCAACUCUUUUCAUUAUGGCUUGAAUCAAUGUCUGCUUAUUGACAUGAAACUUACCAUGAUAUACAAAGCGGAAAUAUCAUAUCUUAUUAGCUUUGUUUUUUUCUUCACUCAAUCUUCUUCUUCUUCUUCAUGUUGGGCCAGAAAAGUAAUAUAAUUAUGAUGUGAUAAUAAUAAUAAUGAUGAAUUGGUAAAGUAUCAAUCAUUUGAUAAAGAUGAAUGUAGAUUAGUUAGUUAGAUGAAAUAAAGGUAAUUGAUUGUUUAACAGAGGAGGAUCUUUGUUGACACUGUUGGAACCAAUCAAGUUUGGUGACCUCCGAUCUUAUAAUACCCAUUAUCACUAUUAUUACUAUUGCUUUUAUCAUUAUCAUUAUUUUUCACAUUUUCAUUCUCAUGUAUCUUCCUUGCCACCCUAACACAGCAUGGGCAUUAACUUCUUUGCCGGAAGUAAUUCGUCAGUUAUCAAAAAAAGGAGAGAAGAGGAAAAAAAAUUAUCAAUCUAAAAGAGUAAGAAAAAAUGUCAUCUACAGACUCAAUUACGAUUAAUAUUUCCAAUGAAAUGAGUAACCUUAUUAAGAUUUUCCAUAUUCAUGAUUGGAAUACUUUGAGUUGAACUCACAGUUUUAAUCAGAUGAUUGGUUGGACAAAGAGAGACACAGUUUCAUUUGAACGUGUCAACAAUUUGCCUACAUUUGAAGUUUCAUUAAAGUAACUGACAAGCUACAUAAUAGACAAACAACAAAAAUAGAUUUCGAUAAUAAAGUCUCAGCUUUUUAA